rnacentral:snoRNA from 1 species
CCUCCUCUUCUUGGCGAGGUCCAGGCGUGUGGUCCCAGUUCCCGUAAUGAACGGAGGCAGAGAUCCCCGGCCCCCAUGGCGUUAUUCUUUCCAUGCCGGCGGUUUCCAGUCCAUUGGUUCUAUCCCCAAGCGCCGAGACUCAG